CGCGUAGGCGGCCGGUCAAGUUGGAUGUGAAAGCCCAGGGCUCAACCCUGGAACGGCAUUCAAAACUGGACGGCUUGAGACCGAGAGAGGAGAGUGGAAUACCCAGUGUAGAGGUGAAAUUCGUAGAUAUUGGGUGGAACACCGGUGGCGAAAGCGGCUUUCUGGCUCGGAUCUGACGCUGAGGCGCGAAAGCGUGGGGAGCAAACA
rnacentral:rRNA from 1 species